CUUACCCAUAAAGCCUGACGUCAGAACCCAGGAUAGCCCUUCCUCUCGAGGGACAGCCACGCUGAUGAACUGGAAGUGGGCUGAAGCUAUACAAACUCACACAGAGGGCGGAUAGUGCCGAACAUUAACUGAACACAAUUGAUGGAAACGCUCUUGUUGACUGCAGAAAGGUCAGCCUAACAUCGACCCCUAAAGUCUCAACCAACCACAGCCUGCCUCCUUCCCCUGCAGGGAGUUACACCUCCUCUCAGCAGAUCAAAUCUCUCCAAACAAGGAAUCUCUCCUGGUGCUCCAACAAUAAGUCCGAGACACGGCAAACCAAAUUACUCCCACAAUAACAUUUACUUCUCAGGCAUUUGAAACCUUUAUCCAGCUAUUGGCUCCGUGCAGCAGAACACGUUCUGCUGUAAAGCAGCACAACAGGAAACGAGAAGUAAUGAGGUCAAGAGUAAGAAAGAUAGUGACCUGUUAAAACUAAUGACAAAAGACAAGGCAUUGUGGUGAACAGACAGCAGAGGAGAAGACGUUAAAUAAAAUAUAAUCAACAAAACUAAUCUUUUAAACCCCCUGAGUUGAGUUUUGUUUCAAAGAAACAAAACUCAACUCAGGCAAAGACUGCAAACUUACCAAACCAAGCAACUACCCAAACAUACAUAACUGACCUAAGUCUGUUUUGUUUAUAAACUAAACACCAAAGAAGAAAAUCAAAACCACUAAACCCUAAAUUCAAAUAUUUAAUUAAGUACAACUACUUUGUUUUUAAAUUAAAGAAAACACACAUUCUCCCCCUUCAGCAGGAAGUGGUGGUGCGGUCCAAUUAUCGCUCUUUGUGUUUAAUGGUUUCAAACCCUGGCCACCACCUUUUGUCUGCCAACUCCCUGGAUCACGGCAGGUAAGAAGUAAAAGAAACAAAGGUUAGUCAAAAAUCAAAGUAAUGAACUGGUAUGAAUACAUAAGUAAACUAAAUGUGCGCGCUUACAAAUAGAACAAAUGUAUCCAAACCAAUCAAUAAACUUAUUGGAAACUAAAGUGUGUUAUUGUGUUCAAACAAAGAAAUGAAAAUACACAAGAGUUACCGACUUCAGAGUGUAGCCAUGGGUUUGGCCAUCACAAUUUCCAAUAAAUAUAUUUGAAAGAAUAUACUCGAUUACUUUUUUUAAACUUUUGCUAAAGAUGUAAAAAAGCCAACCAUGCAAAGAAGUAUUGACAAUUAAAGCAAUCCAUCCAUUCUCUGCCGCUUAUCCUUUUCAGGGUUGCAGGGGGGCCUGGAGCCUAUCCCAGCUGUCUUAGGUAUUCAGGAUACAGUCUGUUGCAGGGCUAACACAUAGAGGCAGACAACCACUCACACCUAUAAUGAGUUGCCAAUUACCCUAACCCCAAGUGCAUGUCUUUGAAAUGUGGGAGUGCCCAGAGAGAACAUGCAAACUCCAAACAGAAAGACCCUGGCCCAAUGGUGGAGUUGAACUCAGGACCGACUUGCUGUGAGGUAGCAGCGCUAAACACCGUGCAACAAAGCAAAGUGACAGCUUUGAGUGAUACUAUACAAGGCUGAUUUAAACAGCUGCAGCUGUUUGGACGUUAAAAUAUUUUAAUUACUUUGUAUAGCAAUACAAUUUUUACAUAACAGAUCAAUGUCCCGAUCAUUGUCUACAUUUAUCACUGUUUGCUAGAGAUAAUAGAGAGAAAACGGAGGAAAACCCCAACAUUCAGUGACUCCCUAUGAGCAAGUGGUUUGGCAAAGGUGAGAAGGAAAAGCUCGCUUUUAACAGGAAGAAACCUCCAGCAGAACCAGGCCAUCUGUCACAACCGGUCGGAGGUAAGUAGUUAAAGACAGAACAAAGACAUGCUUUGGAUGAAAGUUAAACAGAUUUCCUAUUCCUAAUCUUGUGGCAGCUGAACUGAAUCUUUGUUUUAGAGAAGCAGGAUGAUUACCUGUCAUAUUUACCUUAGCUUGAAAAUAUUCAAAUGAUUGAUGCCAAGAUACUUAUGAUCUCUCGUUGGAUAAUAGUCCUGUCCAAACAAGAGCCGCAGGGCCACCUUCAUCAAAUAAACCACUUGCAUUUUAUUUGCAUGUUAUCUGUUGUCCUGACUACUGGCGCUGGGGAAACCGGUUUUAUAUCCACAUUAACUUGAAUGCACAUAAAGUUAUGUCUUACAUUGCUUCCACCUGUGCACACGAGAGGUUGUUUUAUGGCCACUUUAAGAAAAGAAUUGUUUUGGCUAAGUGUCGACAGCUGUUUAGCUUUCAGUUUUUGUUUUUGCAUGCAUGUCUUUCAUAUUUUAUGUUUGCAGUGUCCUGUUUUACUGCAUGGAUAACUUUCACGCCUUUCCUCAACCAGCUUUCUCUAUGGUGUCAUCAUCGAUCGAGGUGUACACAUUUGGAAAUGUCCUAUAUGUGAUCAGCUCAACAGAAACUUUAAGUACUGACUAUAUUCAUACUAGAGGAAAUAAUGUGCAUCCAGGAAGUGUGUAUUGUGGUUCCAUCUCUGAAUAGAAACUUGAACUGUGAAGAAGUACAUCACUUUUGUUGUUAGGACCUUAAAUCCCCUCCAACCCUUUAAUAAAUGUUCUUGUUUUUGUGCCGUGUUCAACAGCAGACACGGGCUAAAGUCACAUGAUUUCAGUUCAUAAUCUUUUAUUCACAUGACAACCUCUUCCCUCCGGUGUAAACGAGUUUAAAUGCUUUGUUCGGUGUCUCAGCUGCACGGUAUCAGAAGAUUUGAUUUACUUUGAUAGAAUUAAACUAUUCGGUUGUGUUUAUGUAUAUAUUCAUAUCAAAUUGUCCAGGAAUAAAAACCCUCAGCUGGAUUCAUCCUUAAAUAUGUCAAACAAACGCUGUGUACGUUUGAACCCUGUAACAGCAGAGAAGUGACUGCAGUUGAAAACCUGUGUUUAC